rnacentral:misc_RNA from 1 species
GAUGAAGAACGUAGCGAAACGCGAUAAGUAAUGUGAAUUGCAGAAUCCAGUGAAUCAUCGAAUCUUUGAACGCACAUUGCGCUCGCCAGCAUUCUGGCGGGCAUGCCUGUUCGAGCGUCAUUUCAACCCUCGACCUCCCCUUGGGGAGGUCGGCGUUGGGGACCGGCAGCACACCGCCGGCCCUGAAAUGGAGUGGCGGCCCGUCCGCGGCGACCUCUGCGCAGUAAUACAGCUCGCACCGGGACCCCGACGCGGCCACGCCGUAAAACACCCAACUUCUGAACGUUGACCUCGAAUCAGGUAGGACUACCCGCUGAACUUAAGCAUAUCAAUAAGCGGAGGA